rnacentral:rRNA from 1 species
CACGUAGGGGCCAAGCGUUGUCCGGAUUUAUUGGGCGUAAAGAGCUCGUAGGCGGCUCGGUAAGUCGGGUGUGAAACCUCCAGGCUCAACCUGGAGACGCCACCCGAUACUGCUGUGGCUAGAGUCCGGUAGGGGAGCGUGGAAUUCCUGGUGUAGCGGUGAAAUGCGCAGAGUAUCAGGAGGAACACCAGCGGCGAAGGCGGCGCUCUGGGCCGGAACUGACGCUGAGGAGCGAAAGCGUGGGUAGCAAACAGG